rnacentral:rRNA from 1 species
CUGUGCCUACGGGAGGCAGCAGUGGGGAAUAUUGCACAAUGGGGGAAACCCUGAUGCAGCGACGCCGCGUGAAGGAAGAAGUAUCUCGGUAUGUAAACUUCUAUCAGCAGGGAAGAAAACAGACGGUACCUGACUAAGAAGCCCCGGCUAACUACGUGCCAGCAGCCGCGGUAAUACGUAGGGGGCAAGCGUUAUCCGGAAUUACUGGGUGUAAAGGGAGCGUAGACGGUGAUGCAAGUCUGGAGUGAAAGGCGGGGGCCCAACCCCCGGACUGCUCUGGAAACUGUGUAACUUGAGUGCAGGAG